rnacentral:rRNA from 1 species
AUGCUUUGUAGUGUGAACGAUGAUGCAUACAUGUCAACUAUGGGUGUCAACUCGAACAAUUCGCAUUGGUCUCAAACCAAUGACGAAGACCAUGAGUUCGAGGUGGAUGAGGAUGGUGAGGGCAUUAUCGACGCACCGAAAGGAAGAGGAGGCAACUACACCAACGUCGAAGACGUUGUGCUAUGCAAAACUUGGUUGGACGUGUCGAGGGAUCCAUCCGUUGGAGGUGAUCAAAGUAGAGAUGAUUAUUGGCUCCGGAUGAAAGAACACUUUGAUCUUCGCAACAUGAGUGGAAUUGACCGCUCUACACGAUUGCUUCGCUCCUGAUGGUCGACCAUCAAUAGGGAUUGUCAACAAUGGGCGGCCGCACAAAAAGCGGUUGACAAUUUGAACCCAAGUGGAACCAAUGAUGACGAUAGGGUAAGUGUCAUUUCAUCAUUCCUCAUGUUCACAUCAUGCUUGUUGUUGGUGUUUCUUGUGCUAACUUGUUUUGUUUUCAUGUAG